CCUUUCCCCGCACCCACCUUGCACUGGAGCACAGGUGCCCUUUGGUGCCCCGCCCGCCUGCACUUUCGGGCCAGUCUGACAGGUUCUGGGGGAACCCGUGUUCCAGCCUCUCCCGGCCCCUCCAGACUCCAGGCAUCCGGCAGGUGAGUCAGGGAGCAGCAGGUAAGCUGGGUGCACCUCCCUGCCCAGGAGCCCGAGCCCGAGUAUCGGCUGGGUGUGUCCUCCUGGAUGUGCCUCCCUGCGUUUGUUGGAAGUGACCACAUUGUAAUUAUCAGCCUUUCAGCCCAGUAAUUCUGGCCAUGAUAAAAUCUUGAUAUCUUUAACUGCUUUCACAGACUCUCUGUGAAUCCUGCAGAAGUGGACGGUUGAGGUCGGACGUGAUUCUCUCGGUGGGGUGGAGGGCAAGGCUGGCCUGAAAAACCAGGAAGCAGCCGACCUCGCUCACAGCCGCCGCGAGGACAGCUUGCAGCGGGAGGGAGCUGUUGUGUUGUCCACGAGAAGUCAGGCCCACUGGACAGCAAAUGACCAGG